UACAGAGACUGCGAGCGUUAUUCGGAUUCACUGGGCGUAAAGGGUGCGCAGGCGGCCGAGUGUGUGAGGCGUGAAAGCCCGGGGCUUAACCCCGGAAUUGCACCUCAAACUACACGGCUAGAGCAUUGGAGAGGGUAGCAGAAUUCACGGUGUAGCAGUGAAAUGCGUAGAUAUCGUGAGGAAUACCAGAGGCGAAGGCGGCUACCUGGACCAAUUCUGACGCUGAGGAGCGAAAGCCAGGGGAGCAAACGGG
rnacentral:rRNA from 1 species